GACGAACGCUGGCGGCGUGCUUAACACAUGCAAGUCGAACGGAAAGGCCCUGCUUUUGUGGGGUGCUCGAGUGGCGAACGGGUGAGUAACACGUGAGUAACCUGCCCUUGACUUUGGGAUAACUUCAGGAAACUGGGGCUAAUACCGGAUAGGAGCUCCUGCUGCAUGGUGGGGGUUGGAAAGUUUCGGCGGUUGGGGAUGGACUCGCGGCUUAUCAGCUUGUUGGUGGGGUAGUGGCUUACCAAGGCUUUGACGGGUAGCCGGCCUGAGAGGGUGACCGGCCACAUUGGGACUGAGAUACGGCCCAGACUCCUACGGGAGGCAGCAGUGGGGAAUAUUGCACAAUGGGCGGAAGCCUGAUGCAGCAACGCCGCGUGCGGGAUGACGGCCUUCGGGUUGUAAACCGCUUUCGCCUGUGACGAAGCGUGAGUGAUGGUAAUGGGUAAAGAAGCACCGGCUAACCACGUG
rnacentral:rRNA from 1 species